rnacentral:rRNA from 1 species
GAUGAACGCUGGCGGCGUGCCUAAUACAUGCAAGUCGAGCGAACAGACGAUGCGCUUGCUCCUCUCUCGUUAGCGGCGGACGUGUGAGUCACACGUGUAUCCCCUACCUAUCAGACUGGGAUCACUUCGGGAAACCGGCGCUAAUACCGGAUAAUCUAUUGCACCGCAUUGUUCAAUGGUAAAAUUCGGUUUUGCUGUCCCUUAUCGCUGCAUCCGCGCCGGAUUAGCUAGUUGGUAAGGUCCCGGCGUACCACGGCAACGCUGCGUAGCCGACCUGAGAGGGUGAGCGGCCACACUGGAAGGGAGACACGGUCCAGACGCAUACGGGAGGGAGCAGUAGGGAAUCGUGAGCAAGGGGCGAAAGACUGACGGAGAAGGGCCGCGUGAUGGAGGAAGGACUUCGGAUCGGAAAACACGGUUAUUAGGGUAGAAAAAAUGUGUAAGUAACUAUGCACGUCUUGAAGGUAAAUAAGCAGAAAGCCACGGCUAACUAAGUG